ACUCAAAUGAAUUGACGGGGGCUCGCACAAGUGGUGGAGCAUGCGGUUUAAUUCGAUGCUACGCGAAAAACCUUACCAACCCUUGACAUGGUGGUCGCGGGGACCAGAGAUGGACCCCUUCAGUUCGGCUGGACCACACACAGGUGUUGCAUGGCUGUCGUCAGCUCGUGUCGUGAGAUGUUGGGUUAAGUCCCGCAACGAGCGAAACCCUCAUCCUUAUUUGCCAGCGGUUCGGCCGGGAACUAUAAGGAAACUGCCGGUGAUAAACCGGAGGAAGGUGGGGACGAUGUCAAGUCAUCAUGGCCCUUACGGGUUGGGCUACACGCGUGCUACAAUGGUGCUUACAGAGGGAUGCAAUACGGCGACGUGGAGCAAAUCCUCAAAAGGCAUCUCAGUUCGGAUUGCUCUCUGCAACUCGAGAGCAUGAAGUCGGAAUCACUAGUAAUCGCGGAUCAGCAUGCCGCGGUGAAUACGUUCUCGGGCCUUGUACACACCGCCCGU
rnacentral:rRNA from 1 species